GUACCAGCUGUGUACCGAGGUCGAUGUAAUCGACUAACUCACUCCUCCGAAACUGCUGGCCUUGUGCCAAAAUUUGAAACCAAUAUUUGUGAUCUUCUGUUGAUGUUAGACAUUGAUACUUGACUUUUGGCGAGAAGCAAAAAUAGCAAAUCACAUAAGGAAUACUUCUGAUGACGUCAUAAUAGCUAGCCUUGGAUUAUCAAAAUAAUGUUCCCGCUUUAAGCACAUUCUUUCGUUACCAAAACUCAUACAAAAAUGGCUGUAAAAGAAACCAAACAAGCGACGUUUAAUCAAUUGAAAUUGUCGACAUUACAAAAACAUUGUUAUUGCAUGAACGAGCGCAAUAUUAUGACGUCAUGAGAGCUAUUCAUUUUUAAGAUUAAAAAAAAGGUCAGUUAAAUGAGAAUCUGUUUUGCCGAAGAAAAACAAAUUUCGGUGAAUUGUUUUAAAUAACCAACGAUAAGGUUUCGUUUGUUCUCAUCUAACGAAACCGAAACAAUGUAGAGACAACUGAAUGACCAGCGGUAUCAACAUUGCCAAGGUAUACAGAUAUAACACGGCAAAUGUUGUUUUCUUUCUUUCUUUCUUUUCAGAGCAGCGUUAGCAGCUGUUCGUUGAACCUGUUUCAAUAGUGUCGAGGGUCACGCCUGGCAUUACCAAAUCUUACGAACAAGGAACGAGCUAAGAUAGCAGCACGCUAUGAAAUGUGGAAUUCUUUUGUCUUGGUUCAGAGAUGGCACGCAUGGAAAGGUAAGCCUGCAACAGUACGUCCGGAGACAAUAAAAAGUUGCCAUGCAAAGCUGAUGACCACGGGGAGGAAGAAGUGGCCGUCCAACCACAUCUCGAUCAGCGGAGAACGUGGCAACAGUGCAGGUAAUGUUUAAUCACAGCAAACAAAAAUCAACACGUCAAGCAGCUCGUGAAAGUGGACCGACGAAACACACCAUAAGUACGGUGUUGUAUAAAGAAUUGAAUUUUCGUCCGUGGUAACCCCAUUACAUGCAGGAGCUAAAACCUGAGGACUAUGACUGCAGAAGUCCAUAACUCCAAGAAGUCCAGAUCUCACUCCAUGUGAUUUUUACCUGUGGGUUUGCACAAAAGAGGUGUACAAGACAAAACCUUGCACACUGGAGGACUUGGAGACACAGAUUCAGGAGGUUCUCAAUGAUAUCCCAGACAACGUCUUUCAGAAGGUUGUUCAUUCCAUCCCUGGCCGUAUGAGGAAACUGGUUGGCACCACCGGUGCUUACGUUGAAAUAUGAAGAUUUACUUUCAUUUUGCCAUGUAAUAAAAAGACAUAUAUCAUUUGUUUCAAUA